UAAAUACUUCGAUUUUACAUCAUUCAAAAAUUUAUAAAUAAAAAAUAAGAAAGGUGUAGUAAAUAUUUGUGUAUGAUACAAAGUAUUGUGAUAUAUGUAAGAGGACAAAGUGAAUACUUUGUACUACCGGCUACCUCGCUAUUUGUAAAAGAGGUGCAAGUUUUUUGUGUAUUUAAUCAUAAUGACUGCAUUAAGUGGUUUUAUGGAAUUUUUUCAAAAAGGGAAGGUGAAUACAUUCAGGCCGAAAAAAAAAUUUGCUCAUGGAACCUUACGAUAUUCUUUGCAUAAACAAGCACAAGCUUCUUUGAAUUCAGGAAUUAAUUUAAGAUCUGUCGUAAAAUUACCCCCUGGAGAAGAUCUAAAUGAUUGGAUUGCAGUUCAUGUGGUGGACUUUUUUAAUAGAAUAAAUUUGAUAUAUGGUACUGUUUCUGAAUAUUGUGAUUCUGCAUCUUGUCCAACAAUGAGUGGUGGAGCUCGCUUCGAAUACUUAUGGGCAGAUGGAGAAAAAUAUAAAAAACCUACUGCACUGCCAGCACCACAGUAUGUUAGUCUUCUUAUGGAUUGGAUUGAAGCACAAAUUAAUAAUGAAACCAUUUUUCCUGUAUCAACAGAUGUACCAUUUCCAAAAACUUUUGUACCACUGUGUAGAAAAAUUUUGACACGUUUGUUCAGAGUUUUUGUCCAUGUUUAUAUACAUCAUUUUGAUCGUAUUGUAGCAAUUGGAGCAGAAGCACAUGUAAAUACAUGUUACAAACAUUUUUACUAUUUUGUAACAGAAUUUGAAUUAAUAAAUACAAAAGAAUUGGAACCACUGGCUGAAAUGACUUCCAAAGUUUGCAAAGAUACUGCGUCACCAACGCAAACAACAGCACCAAGUAAUGCUAGAUAGUCAUGAGCUUAAUACAUAAAGUCAUAACCAAAUUAGAAUGAAACAGACUUGUUUUAAUGGAAUGUUCGCUGGGCUGGGCGGCCCAGAGCCAAUAAACUCAUAAAAAUAAGAUGAGGGACACAUCCUUGCGCAGUAUCGUUAGGCUCAUAAAGUAAUUGCGAAUAUUACUUUAUGCGACUGACCGGCCCAACGGGGUAUCUAGACCUACCUUCCUAAUCACAUGAUGGCAUAUAAACUCCCUCAAUUUUCUUCUGUUCUGAAGCCGAUCUACACCGUCUCCGUGUGCAAGACCCCUCCCGAAAAUACUUAAAUAUAUCUCUUCCUAAUUAGCCAUAUUAAUGUAUAACGAAUUACAUUAGAUUUUGAAAAUUCACAUUUUAUGAAUAAA